UACCAGCUCUCCGAGUAGUGUGGAUGUUUAUUGGGCCUAAAGCAUCCGUAGCUUGCUAAGCAAGUCCCCUGUUAAAUCCACCGAUUUAAUCGUUGGAUUGCGGGGGAUACUGUUUGGCUAGGGGACGGGAGAGGCCGACGGUAUUUCCGGGGUAGGGGUGAAAUCCUAUAAUCCCGGGAAGGCCACCAGUGGCGAAGGCUGUCGGUUAGAACGCACCCGACGGUGAGGGAUGAAAGCUGGGGGAGCGAACCGGAUUAGAUACCCGGGUAGUCCCAGCUGUAAACGAUGCAGGCUAGGUGUUUGGGCGGCCACGAGCCGCCCUAGUGCCGCAGGGAAGCUGUUAAGCCUGCCGCCUGGGGAGUACGGCCGCAAGGCUGAAACUUAAAGGAAUUGGCGGGGGAGCACCACAAGGGGUGAAGCUUGCGGUUU
rnacentral:rRNA from 1 species